rnacentral:rRNA from 1 species
GAUGAACGCUGGCGGCGUGCCUAAUACAUGCAAGUCGAGCGAAUGGAUUAAGAGCUUGCUCUUAUGAAGUUAGCGGCGGACGGGUGAGUAACACGUGGGUAACCUGCCCAUAAGACUGGGAUAACUCCGGGAAACCGGGGCUAAUACCGGAUAACAUUUUGAACCGCAUGGUUCGAAAUUGAAAGGCGGCUUCGGCUGUCACUUAUGGAUGGACCCGCGUCGCAUUAGCUAGUUGGUGAGGUAACGGCUCACCAAGGCAACGAUGCGUAGCCGACCUGAGAGGGUGAUCGGCCACACUGGGACUGAGACCCGGCCCAGACUCCUACGGGAGGCAGCAGUAGGGAAACUUCCGCAAUGGACGAAAGUCUGACGGAGCAACGCCGCGUGAGUGAUGAAGGCUUUCGGGUCGUAAAACUCUGUUGUUAGGGAAGAACAAGUGCUAGUUGAAUAAGCUGGCACCUUGACGGUACCUAACCAGAAAGCCACGGCUAACUACGUGCCAGCCGCCGCUGUAA